AGUGAACGCUGGCGGUAGGCCUAACACAUGCAAGUCGAACGGCAGCACAGUAAGAGCUUGCUCUUACGGGUGGCGAGUGGCGGACGGGUGAGGAAUACAUCGGAAUCUACUUUUUCGUGGGGGAUAACGUAGGGAAACUUACGCUAAUACCGCAUACGACCUACGGGUGAAAGCAGGGGAUCUUCGGACCUUGCGCGAUUGAAUGAGCCGAUGUCGGAUUAGCUAGUUGGCGGGGUAAAGGCCCACCAAGGCGACGAUCCGUAGCUGGUCUGAGAGGAUGAUCAGCCACACUGGAACUGAGACACGGUCCAGACUCCUACGGGAGGCAGCAGUAGGGAAUAUUGGGCAAUGGGCGCAAGCCUGAUCCAGCCAUGCCGCGUGAGUGAAGAAGGCCUUCGGGUUGUAAAGCCCUUUUGUUGGGAAAGAAAAGCAGCAGGUUAAUACCCCGCUGUUCUGACGGUACCCAAAGAAUAAGCACCGGCUAACUUCGUG
rnacentral:rRNA from 1 species